CGUCUAUAUACGUAUAGCAUAUCAAUAAGCGGAGGAAAAGAAACUAACAAGGAUUCCCUUAGUAACGGCGAGUGAAGCGGGAAGAGCUCAAAUUUGAAAUCUUCAAGGUUCUACCUUGACGAAUUGUAGUUUAAAGAAGUGUUUUCUGUUAGUGGAGUGGCAAAAGUUCUUUGGAAUAGGACAUCAUAGAGGGUGAGAAUCCCGUAUUUGGUCAUUCCUUCUAGCUUUGUGAUACACUUUCAAAGAGUCGGAUUGUUUGGGAAUGCAGUCCAAAAUGGGUGGUAAAUUUCAUCUAAAGCUAAAUAUUGGCGAGAGACCGAUAGCGAACAAGUACCGUGAGGGAAAGAUGAAAAGAACUUUGAAAAGAGAGUUAAACAGUACGUGAAAUUGUCAAAAGGGAAGCGUUUGACACCAGUGUUGUUUUUCCGAAAAUCAAUUAAGAAUGUUUUAUUUUUGAGGAGUUAUGACUUCAUCGGCUUGCUCCUCUCUUUAUGAAACUUUCUUAAUGCACUUUUCGGUUAACAAGUCAACAUCAAUUUCUUUUGUUGUAAAAGAGUAUGAGGAAGGUGGCUUUCUUUUCGGAGAAAGUGUUUAUAGCCUUGUGCCUCUGCAAUCGGAGAGAUUGAGGUCUGCAGCGUAGAUCCUUCGGGGUUAGAUACACUUUGUGCUAAGUUAUAGCUUUUCAUAGACAACUUGUUGACUAUGUUAAGUCUUGUAGCUUACUCGCUGACUGCUAUUUUACCUACGCUUAGGAUGUUGACGAGACUGUCGAUCU
rnacentral:rRNA from 1 species